UACGUAGGGUGCAAGCGUUAAUCGGAAUUACUGGGCGUAAAGCGUACGCAGGCGGCUAUGUAAGACAGGUGUGAAAUCCCCGGGCUUAACCUGGGAACUGCAUUUGUGACUGCAUAGCUAGAGUCUGUCAGAGGGGGGUGGAAUUCCACGUGUAGCGGUGAAAUGCGUAGAGAUGUGGAGGAACACCAAUGGCGAAGGCAGCCUUCUGGGCCAACACUGACGCUCAUGCACGAAAGCGUGGGGAGCAAACAGG
rnacentral:rRNA from 1 species